UACGUAGGGUGCAAGCGUUAAUCGGAAUUACUGGGCGUAAAGCGUGCGUAGGCGGCUUUCUAAGUCGGGGGUGAAAUCCUGGAGCUCAACUCCAGAACUGCCUUCGAUACUGGAAAGCUCGAGUCCGGGAGAGGUGAGUGGAACUGCGAGUGUAGAGGUGAAAUUCGUAGAUAUUCGCAAGAACACCAGUGGCGAAGGCGGCUCACUGGCCCGAUACUGACGCUGAGGCACGAAAGCGUGGGGAGCAAACAGGG
rnacentral:rRNA from 1 species